GGCCCUAAGUGUAUUUUGCAUAUAACUCGAGUUUUGAUCGGAUUUUGCUAAUUUUAGUUUUAUAUGAAAGGUAAUUGAAUACCGAAUAGAAUGUUGUGGAAAAACAUUUUAAAUUUGGCUCCUAGGACUAAGGCCGCUCCUUCGACCCUAAGUGUAUUUUGCAUAUAACUCGAGUAAAUUUGAUCCGAUUUUCCUAAUUUUCGUUUUAUUUGUAAGUAAAUUUUGUAAGCUAAUCGAA